rnacentral:sRNA from 1 species
GUGUCAGCUCUGGACAUUGAGGUCCUCUAUUUAUCCAUAGAAAUGCUAUCCCAUAGGCAGAAGUAGUGCAACCUUUCCCCACACUGCCCUGUCCAAAGAUAGGACCAUCCCUAGUGAUGAGAGGGUAGUUCAAUCUACAUGCCGCUGCAGUACUAUUUAUCU